GACGAACGCUGGCGGCGUGCCUAAUACAUGCAAGUCGAACGCAGUGGGUACUGUUUAGUAACACGUGGGUAACCUCCCAUCAGAGGGGAUAACACUUGGCAACAGGUGCUAAACCGAUACUGAUGGAUGAACCCGCGGUGCAUUAGCUAGUUGUUGAGGUAACGGCUCACCAAGGCCACGAUGCCUAGACGGCCGGAGAGGGUGAUCGGACACACUGGGACUGAGACACGGCCCAGACUCCUACGGGAGGCAGCAGUGGGGAAUCUUCGGCAAUGGACGAAAGUCUGACCGAGCAACGCCGCGUGAGUGAAGAAGGUUUUCGGAUCGUAAAACUCUGUUGUUAGAGAAGCGGUAUCUAAACAGAAAGCCACGGCUAACUACGUGCCAGCAGCCGCGGUAAUAC
rnacentral:rRNA from 1 species